GUAUUCAAUCAAUUUUUUGCAAGCAUCUGUAAAGAAAGUUUCACGAAAACAUCUCAUAUCCUUUCUUUUUUUCCUAUGGAAAAUAAAAUAAACUGAUAGAAUUCAGCCAGAAAUGUAUGUUCAUUUUCUUAUAUCAUCAUUUUAAAUGUACACUACAUUUAAAUGUGCAUUUCUGAGGUAGCUGCUUCCCUUUACAGGUGCUGCCAAUAUUGCAUCAAGAAAUCCUUCCAGAAAGUUUAGUAGCCUUAAAGCCUGUAACAAUUAGUGAUGUAAUAUAAAUAAAUAUAUUACAGGCUUAAAACUUUGUGCUGCAGCCUGGGAUAUUUUUUAUCAGUUUGUUUGUUUAACUGACAUAAAGAGUGGAAUAAGUGGUCCAUCAAUACAUGACAGGCUGAUAGUGAGCAGUCUGAUUAGGAGUAAGAAGAGCAGAACAUUUCAGUAUGAUGAAAUCAGUAUUUAUAUGAUUGCUACGAGAAAAAACAUUUUUGUGUUCAAUAAUUGUUAACUCCAUAGGAAAAAAAAAAAAGAAAAAAAUGAAAGAAAAAAAAUGAGGAGAAAGAAUUUUUGUAUCAGUGUCUCAGCUAUAAAUACAAACCUUGCUCUGAAAGUAAUGCCUCCUAUUUUAUUAUAUUGGCCCACAGUGUCAGAGAUUAGUUUCUGUGGUAUGGAAGUUGAGGUUGAAUCUUCCCAUCAAUAUUCUAUUUUGUUGCCAUGUGACAGAUGGCAGCAGAGGGUCAACCUGACAACAUUUGACAUGGGAUUGCAGAUGAAGCAAAGAUGUGGAAUUGAAUUCCUCCAUGAAGAAAAAAUUGCACCCAUUGACUUUCAUUGAUGCUUGCUGAACAUUUAUGGAGACCAAACAGCAGAUGUGAGCAUACUGAGGAUAUGUCUUGGCAUCUUCUGUGCUCCAUGACACCAUAUGCCAAAGAGGAAACUUUUAGAGGGAAGAAGUGAGAUCUAUUUACAGUUCAGAUAUAUUCAUUGCUUUGGAGCUGUUUGCCUUCGGAAGAGAGUGUUCAGGACUGUUUACUGGCAGAUGAUCUGGCCUGUGACAAAUAACUCCAGCUUGCUAUGGGAGACUGGGAGAUGAUACCACUGUAUUCUGUGAAGGCAAGAUACAAGUUGGCACCUCCCUGCUUUCUCUUAUCUGCUGACAAGGCCCAGAAGAUGGGAACAAAAGGAGUUCCUGCUGAGAUCCAAAAGCCAGAAGCUAUCACUCCAAAAGGAGCUGACUGAAUCACUUUGGACUUAUUUAUAAGUUUGUACUGCCAUUGAAAAGUAAAGCAAAACCAAAACAAACAAACAAACAAAAACCCUUUGAGUGAAAUUUCCUGCAUUCCUCAUCUCUUGUGAUUUUACAGGCUCUGUGUAGAAUAUUUGGAUUGCUCAGGGAACACCACUGCAUGACCAGUAGCUGGUAGUGAAUCCAAGAAAUGAGACAAAACAAACAUCUUACUUCCCUGAGCAUACAGAAUAAGGAAACUAUAGUCAGGCUGAAUGUUGUGAGGGGCUGAUUAUUCAGAAGGACGGAAAUAGCUUUGGUUAAAUAGACUGACAAAUUUUUGUAUUGAGGGAUUUUACAAAAUAAGUUUCAUGGAAGGAGGAGGAUACAGAUUCCAGAUAUUCUCAGUAAUCUGAUCAGCCUGCUUUCUGAGGAGCUCUGUUAUCAAAGUGGCAGGAAAGUAAUCAAGUUCAUUUGCAUUUUGCAAGCUAUUUGGAUUUUGG
ensembl:lncRNA